rnacentral:rRNA from 1 species
GACGAACGCUGGCGGCGUGCUUAACACAUGCAAGUCGAACGGAAAGGCCCUGCUUUUGUGGGGUGCUCGAGUGGCGAACGGGUGAGUAACACGUGAGCAACCUGCCCUUGACUUUGGGAUAACUUCAGGAAACUGGGGCUAAUACCGGAUAGGAGCUCCUGCUGCAUGGUGGGGGUUGGAAAGUUUCGGCGGUUGGGGAUGGACUCGCGGCUUAUCAGCUUGUUGGUGGGGUAGUGGCUUACCAAGGCUUUGACGGGUAGCCGGCCUGAGAGGGUGACCGGCCACAUUGGGACUGAGAUACGGCCCAGACUCCUACGGGAGGCAGCAGUGGGGAAUAUUGCUCAAUGGGCGGAAGCCUGAUGCAGCAACGCCGCGUGCGGGAUGACGGCCUUCGGGUUGUAAACCGCUUUCGCCUGUGACGAAGCGUGAGUGACGGUAAUGGGUAAAGAAGCACCGGCUAACUACGUG